GGUGCGGGGGUACAUGCAAGGGAAAAGCGCGCAAAAGGCGGUACAUGGCUUUAGCUUCAGAUUCCAGGAUUCCUUACAUGGCUUUAGCUUCUUCUUACUGGAUUCCUAAUCAAUUCGAGUUCAUGGACACGCCUCCCAAAGCGAACGAUUGGAUUAUACCUAGUUCCAUUACCUAUUGUAUAUUAUACCUAGUUCCAUUACCUAUUGUAGUAUUAGUAAGAACAUUCCCUGAGCUCGUAUAGGCACAUGCUCCCGCUAACCCAUUAAGGAAAAAGAACACUUUCUAAAGCAUUGGGACUUACUCGCUUCUCCCCAUGAAUGAACACUGAUGGAAUCCAUCGAGAGGUCGGGUUCAACAACUUCGGAUGAUAUCUCAGCCAUAUCAAAGUAAAGAAACCUUUGAGAGUAUAGUAGUUGAAUGUGAGAAAGAGAGCCAUUUUGCGCUGAUCACGGCUGGUUCUACUAUAUGGAGGGCUCAGAUAAAGUGGAAGUGCUUUGCUUUGCUUUCCUUCACGCUGAGUGUGAACUGGAGAUUGAAGGCUGCUCGGAAGAUUGUUGAUGACAUCAAUCUGCUAGGCCCGUCUGUCGAAUCGUUUUUCAAUGCAUGCGAUCUUUCGAGUAGGAGUCGCUGGCACUGGCUUUCGAUUCCGUCCUGUCUUUUCUUUUCCGUUAAGUAUGAUCAGUCGUAGGGCUCCUUUUGCAGGAGUUUAGUUUCACGUCUGUCUCGUAGGAAAGAUCUUCUUCUAGUUUUUAGGUUAGUCAAAUCCGUUAAGCAUGGCAGUACAAGGCACUGAGUCCUUUUUCUAGCAGUCAUUGCGUAAUCGUAAGCAGCCCUUCCAGACAGCAAGUGAGAGUUUCCCGAGUGUAAGUAGGC
rnacentral:lncRNA from 1 species